AAAAGNACUUAGUCCUAACCUUGCUAUUAAUUUUUGCCAGACCUAUACAUGCAAGUAUCCGCGCCCCAGUGUAAAUGCCCCUGGCCCCUUACCAAGACAAGAGGAGCAGGCAUCAGGCACACCCACCGUAGCCCAAAACGCCUUGCUUAGCCACACCCCCACGGGUACUCAGCAGUAAUUAACAUUAAGCAAUAAGUGCAAACUUGACUUAGUCAUGGCAACACUAGGGUUGGUAAAUCUUGUGCCAGCCACCGCGGUCAUACAAGAAACCCAAAUUAAUAGUACUCGGCGUAAAGAGUGGCCCAACAUUAUCGUCACCCNCCUGAGGCCAAAGCAUGCCUAAACUGUCNAUAAGUCCAAGGCACUCCUAAGCCCCACCUAUCCAGCCUCAACCCCAACGACCAACCAACCCCACGAAAGCCGGGGGACAAACUGGGAUUAGAUACCCCACUAUGCCCGGCCAUAAAUUCAAAUGCUUUNNCCCCACCCAAGCAUUCGCCAGGGAACUACGAGCACAAACGCUUAAAACCCUAAGGACUUGGCGGUGUCCCAAACCCACCUAGAGGAGCCUGUUCCAUAAUCGAUAACCCACGCUACACCCGACCCCCUCUUGCCCCAAGCAGCCUAUAUACCGCCGUCGCCAGCUCACCUUCCCUGAAAGCCCAACAGUGAACACAAUAGCCCCACCCGCUAAAAAGACAGGUCAAGGUAUAGCCCAUGAGGGGGGAGGAAAUGGGCUACAUUUUCUGACCCAGACUAUCAACGAAAGAGGGCCUGAAACNAACCCUCAGAAGGCGGAUUUAGCAGUAAAACAAGGCCACCAUACCUGUCUUAAAUUGGCCCUAGGACACGUACAUACCGCCCGUCACCCUCCUCGCAGCUAACCCCUAUNNNCCACCAAACUAGAACCACUACUCAGCUAAAGAUGAGGUAAGUCGUAACAAGGUAAGUGUACCGGAAGGUGCACUUAGCAUAU
rnacentral:ncRNA from 1 species